AAAGUCGUAACAAGGUUUCCGUAGGUGAACCUGCGGAAGGAUCAUUACCAUAUGUAUCCAUAUAAACACCUGUGAACUUACUUGUUUCUAUCCGUUCGUUGUUGGGUGGGCGUUGCAUUGCGCGUUUGUGGAGCUCUUGAGUGGUGGUAGCUCCCGUCGCAUUGUACUCAUCCUUCGUUGGAUGACCUGCUUGACUCGAAUGUGUAUUCCACUGCUCAUUCAUUAUCAAAUUAUUAACACCUUGUACCCAUUGUGAACUGAACAUAACGCGCAGCUUUCGCAGUUGUAGCAGCUCGAAAUGGAGAGGGCGCGUGACUUAAGUUACGCCUCUCACCGUAUGUGUAGCAGCCGCAGCAGCAGUAGCAGUGUCGUAAAUGUACGAAACGUGCGAACAACUCUUAACAACGGAUAUCUUGGUUCUC
rnacentral:misc_RNA from 1 species